GAGGGGCUGCUAAGGUCCGAACAGCUUAAGUCGGCCGGUUUACUAGCUGCAGCGGGGGGCGACUGGGAAGCUGCAACAAAGGCAUACCGCAAGCUGGCUGAGAAUCCUGGCAAGGAUGGAAAG
rnacentral:ribozyme from 1 species